rnacentral:rRNA from 1 species
AUUGAACGCUGGCGGCAGGCUUAACACACGCAAGUCGAGCGGAGAGAGGUAGCUUGCUACUGAUCUUAGCGGCGGACGGGUGAGUAACGCUUAGGAAUCUGCCUAUUAGUGGGGGACAACAUUCCGAAAGGAAUGCUAAUACCGCAUACGCCCUACGGGGGAAAGCAGGGGAUCUUUGGACCUUGCGCUAAUAGAUGAGCCUAAGUCGGAUUAGCUAGUUGGUGGGGUAAAGGCCUACCAAGGCGACGAUCUGUAGCGGGUCUGAGAGGAUGAUCCGCCACACUGGGACUGAGACACGGCCCAGACUCCUACGGGAGGCAGCAGUGGGGAAUAUUGGACAAUGGGCGGAAGCCUGAUCCAGCCAUGCCGCGUGUGUGAAGAAGGCCUUUUGGUUGUAAAGCACUUUAGGCGAGGAGGAGGAGCUCUAGAUUAAUACCCUAGAUGCUUGGACGUUACUCGCAGAAUAAGCACCGGCUAACUCUGUGCCAGCAGCCGCCGUAAAAC